rfam:Salmo salar isolate Sally breed double haploid chromosome ssa17, whole genome shotgun sequence.
GAAAAAAAUGUAUGAAAGUCGCUCUGGAUAAGAGCGUCUGCUAAAUGACUAAAA